UGGGGAAUUUUGCACAAUGGGGGAAACCCUGAUGCAGCGACGCCGCGUGAUUUAGAAGGCCUUCGGGUUGUAAAAAUCUUUUCCAUGGGAAGAAAAUGACAGUACCAUAGGAAUAAGGACCGGCUAAUUACGUGCCAGCAGCCGCGGUAAUACGUAAGGUCCGAGCGUUGUCCGGAAUCAUUGGGCGUAAAGGGUACGUAGGCGGGUAAGCAAGUUAGAAGUGAAAUCCUAUAGCUCAACUAUAGUAAGCUUUUAAAACUGCUCAUCUUGAGGUAUGGAAGGGAAAGUGGAAUUCCUAGUGUAGCGGUGAAAUGCGCAGAUAUUAGGAGGAAUACCGGUGGCGAAGGCGACUUUCUGGCCAUAACCUGACGCUGAGGUACGAAAGCGUGGGUAGCAAACAGG
rnacentral:rRNA from 1 species